rnacentral:rRNA from 1 species
CACGUAGGCGGACUAUUAAGUCAGGGGUGAAAUCCCGGGGGCUCAACCCCCGGGAACUGCCUUUGAUACUGGUAGUCUCGAGUCCGGAAGAGGUGAGUGGAAUUCCGAGUGUAGAGGUGAAAUUCGUAGAUAUUCGGAGGAACACCAGUGGCGAAGGCGGCUCACUGGUCCGGUACUGACGCUGAGGUGCGAAAGCGUGGGGAGCAAACA